AAAUAAAUUGAUUUCUGUCAUUCUUUAUCAUUCUGAGAAUUUUUAAAUUCAAUACUAUCUUUUAAGAACCUGAAGUGCCAAGGAAAAAGAAGGUUCCUGAAGAAAGGAGACCUGUUCCUCCAAAAAGGGAAGAAGCACCACCAGCCAAAGGUACACAAUCUUUUUCUUCAAUUUCAGAAAACCUGCUUUCCUAAUCUUUAGGGGGUAGUCUGUUGGUGUUGUAGCAUAAAUAUACAUUGGUUGUUGAUUCUGUUGUAGAUUGAUCUAUGUUUUUUGUUGUCUAUUGUUGAUAAGAGUUUUAAAUCCUAAAACUUAUGUAAUGUUUUUAAAGUACCCCCAGUCCUUAAGAAGGCAGUAACAGAAGAGAAGGUUCAAGUGAUUGUCCCUGUUUCUAAGAAAGAAAAGGCAAUUGCUCCACCCAAAGUGGCUGAGGUCUCUAAGAAAACUGUUACAGAAGAGAAAAGAUUCUUUGCAGAAGAAAAAGUCUCAGUGGCAGUUCCCCAUAGAGUGGAAGUCACCCACCAUGAAGCAGAGGAAGAAUGGGGUUAUGAAGAAGAAGAAGAAAUGGUAUCCGUUGCUGUUUAUAGAGAAGAGGAAAGAGAGGAAGAGGAGGAACAAGUGGAGGUUACAUCAUACGAAGUGAUUGAAGAACCAGAAGAAUAUGUCGUGGAAGAAAAGCUACAUAUUAUUUCUAAAAGGGUGGAAAUGGAACCUGCUGAAGUGCCUGAGAUGCCUCGGAGAGUGGUCCAGAAACAAAAAGUACCUGCUGCUAUUCCUCCAAGAGAGGAGGCUCCUCCUGUAAAAGGUAUAAUCUCCUAUGAAAGAUGCCAAAGCAUCCAUGUCUUUUAA
rnacentral:lncRNA from 1 species